AGUGAACGCUGGCGGUAGGCCUAACACAUGCAAGUCGAACGGCAGCACAGUAAGAGCUUGCUCUUACGGGUGGCGAGUGGCGGACGGGCGAGGAAUACAUCUGAAUCUACUUUUUCGUGGGGGAUAACGUAGGGAAACUUACGCUAAUACCGCAUACGACCUACGGGUGAAAGCAGGGGAUCUUCGGACCUUGCGCGAUUGAAUGAGCCGAUGUCGGAUUAGCUAGUUGGCGGGGUAAAGGCCCACCAAGGCGACGAUCCGUAGCUGGUCUGAGAGGAUGAUCAGCCACACUGGAACUGAGACACGGUCCAGACUCCUACGGGAGGCAGCAGUGGGGAAUAUUGGACAAUGGGCGCAAGCCUGAUCCAGCCAUACCGCGUGGGUGAAGAAGGCCUUCGGGUUGUAAAGCCCUUUUGUUGGGAAAGAAAAGCAGCAGGUUAAUACCCCGCUGUUCUGACGGUACCCAAAGAAUAAGCACCGGCUAACUUCGUG
rnacentral:rRNA from 1 species